rnacentral:rRNA from 1 species
GUCGGUGACCAUACCACGUUGAAAGCACCGGUUCUCGUCCGAUCACCGAAGUUAAACAAGGUUGACUCGGUUACUACUAGCAUGGAUGAUCGGCUAGGAAUACCGUGUGUUGCCAGCU